rnacentral:rRNA from 1 species
AUACGGAGGGUGCAAGCGUUGUUCGGAAUUACUGGGCGUAAAGCGCGCGUAGGCGGUCUGUUAUGUCAGAUGUGAAAGUCCUCGGCUCAACCGGGGAAGUGCAUUUGAAACUGGCAGACUUGAGUACUGGAGGGGGUGGUGGAAUUCCCGGUGUAGAGGUGAAAUUCGUAGAUAUCGGGGGGAAUACCGGUGGCGAAGGCGACCACCUGGCCAGAUACUGACGCUGAGGUGCGAAAGCGUGGGGAGCAAACAGGAUUAGAAACCCCAGUAGUCC